rnacentral:rRNA from 1 species
ACUCCUACGGGAGGCAGCAGUGGGGAAUUUUGCGCAAUGGGCGGAAGCCUGACGCAGUAACGCCGCGUGGAGGACGAAGGCCUUCGGGUCGUAAACUCCUGUCAGGGGGAAAGAAAGACUGGUUGAGAAAAUAUUUCUUCCGGUUCUGACGGUACCCCCAAAAGGAAGCCCCGGCUAAUUCCGUGCCAGCAGCCGCGGUAAUACGGAAGGGGCAAGCGUUGUUCGGAAUCAUUGGGCGUAAAGGGCGCGUAGGUGGUCUUAUAUGUCCGUCGUGAAAGUGCACGGCUCAACCGUGUUUGGUCGGCGGAAACUGUAAGACUUGAGGCUGGGAGGGGCUAGAGGAAUUCCCUGUGUAGCGGUGAAAUGCGUAGAGAUGGGGGAGAACACUCGUGGCGAAGGCGUCUAGCUGGACCAGUCCUGACACUGAGGCGCGAAAGCGUGGGUAGCAAACAGGAUUAGAUACCCUGGUAGUCCACGCCGUAAACGAUGGGCACUAGGUGCCGGCGGUAUUGAUCCCGUCGGUGCCGGCGCUAACGCAGUAAGUGCCCCGCCUGGGGAGUACGGUCGCAAGGCUGAAACUCAAAGGAAUUGACGGGGGCCCGCACAAGCGGUGGAGCAUGUGGUUUAAUUCGACGCAACGCGAAGAACCUUACCUGGAUUUGACAUGUGCAGGAUCGGCAAUGAAAGUUGUCUUCUCUUCGGAGCCUGUGCACAGGUGCUGCAUGGCUGUCGUCAGCUCGUG